rnacentral:misc_RNA from 1 species
GAUGAAGAACGUAGCGAAAUGCGAUAAGUAAUGUGAAUUGCAGAAUUCAGUGAAUCAUCGAAUCUUUGAACGCACAUUGCGCCCCCUGGUAUUCCGGGGGGCAUGCCUGUCCGAGCGUCAUUACAACCCUCAAGCUCAGCUUGGUGUUGGGCCCCGCCGCCCCGGCGGGCCCUAAAGUCAGUGGCGGUGCCGUCCGGCUCCGAGCGUAGUAAUUCUUCUCGCUCUGGAGGUCCGGUCGUGUGCUCGCCAGCAACCCCCAAUUUUUUUCAGGUUGACCUCGGAUCAGGUAGGGAUACCCGCUGAACUUAAGCAUAUCAAUAAGCGGGGGA